CCCCUCUCAGGGUCGCACCUGGAGAGUUUCCAGUACUCUACUAGUCUCGGCUAUGGGAGGAAGAGUAAAGCAGAGUCAUACCCACUCCAUUCCUAGCUUGGGCAGUGGCUAGGGAGUGGAACACAAUCUGCUACAAGU